CAUGCGUAGUCUUACCAAUAUGAGGCGGGCUGGACCUCUCGGGGUUACAGCCUUGCUGAAUUAUUCACCCUUGUCUUUUGCGUACUUCUUGUUUCCUUGGUGGGUUCGCCCACCACUAGGACAAACAUAAACCUUUUGUAAUUGCAAUCAGCGUCAGUAACAAAUUAAUAAUUACAACUUUCAACAACGGAUCUCUUGGUUCUGGCAUCGAUGAAGAACGCAGCGAAAUGCGAUAAGUAGUGUGAAUUGCAGAAUUCAGUGAAUCAUCGAAUCUUUGAACGCACAUUGCGCCCUUUGGUAUUCCAAAGGGCAUGCCUGUUCGAGCGUCAUUUGUACCCUCAAGCUUUGCUUGGUGUUGGGCGUCUUGUCUCUAGCUUUGCUGGAGACUCGCCUUAAAGUAAUUGGCAGCCGGCCUACUGGUUUCGGAGCGCAGCACAAGUCGCACUCUCUAUCAGCAAAGGUCUAGCAUCCAUUAAGCCUUUUUUUCAACUUUUGACCUCGGAUCAGGUAGGGAUACCCGCUGAACUUAAGCAUAUCAAAAGCGGGAGGAAA
rnacentral:rRNA from 1 species